rnacentral:rRNA from 1 species
UGCAGAGGUCUCAAGCGUUGUUCGGAUUCAUUGGGCGUAAAGGGUGUGUAGGUGGCGCCGUAAGUCGGGUGUGAAAUUUCGGAGCUUAACUCCGAAACUGCAUUCGAUACUGCCGUGCUUGAGGACUGGAGAGGAGACUGGAAUUUACGGUGUAGCGGUGAAAUGCGUAGAUAUCGUAAGGAAGACCAGUGGCGAAGGCGGGUCUCUGGACAGUUCCUGACGCUGAGGCACGAAGGUCAGGGGAGCAAACGGG